UACGAAGGGGGCUAGCGUUGCUCGGAAUGACUGGGCGUAAAGGGCGCGUAGGCGGCGGUCACAGUCAGAUGUGAAAUUCCUGGGCUUAACCUGGGGGCUGCAUUUGAUACGUGGUUGCUUGAGUGGGGAAGAGGGUCGUGGAAUUCCCAGUGUAGAGGUGAAAUUCGUAGAUAUUCGCAAGAACACCAGUGGCGAAGGCGGCUCACUGGCCCGAUACUGACGCUGAGGCACGAAAGCGUGGGGAGCAAACAGG
rnacentral:rRNA from 1 species